GUUCAUGCUUUUCUCUACACUCUUUUCUCUUUGAACAUGAUAAAACCUUAACUCUUGGCAGCUCUAACAUUUUAUAUUGUUGCGUAGAGUUUUUUGUGGGCCAUAAUGUAUAGAAUACAGAAGCCUGGUAGUUUUGGUCCACGCCAAUGAUGGAGAAAAAAAAAAAAAACUGAAAAGCAUUUCCUUUCUGUUAAGGUAAUGUCUGUAUGUAGGAACUAGAAGACUUCCAGGUCUCCCUCACGGUGGCAAGGUCCUUAUUAAGCCUCUUCUAACAGUUUUUAGAAUAAACACCUAAGGCUGUGUGGCUCGGCCUGCUCUUCCUUAUAAGAACCCUGCCAAAGCUCUAAUUUAGAGUUCUCUGAAGCCCUUGUAAAGUUCUGCUGCAGGUACUGAGGAAGACCUUGUGCAUACAUGCAUCUGGAAGGAUAUGCGCACUUAAGCUAAUAAAAGCUUUCUAAGUGUCAGUUAAAGGUACCAUCCAGUUUCAGGCACGUACAUAUCAUCAGCACAGAAUGGAGUGAGUGGAAGGUCCCACUGGGGACACUGAGCACUCAUGUACACCAGGAGUAUGACACGGGGGAGAAGGGUAGGUCUCAACUGUCUGAUCACAUGACAGCCUUUAUUAUGACUCUAGUGGAGGCUUUCUUACCGGCACAAGGCAAGGCACACUUGGCGGAUAUACCUGGGCUUGGUUGCAGUGUACCAGAGCCAGUCAUAGAUAGAUGUCUCCUUUGCCUAUUCCCGCUGCCCGAGUUGAGUUUAUCCACCUCAGUUCAGAAUGGGGAGUACAGUCCAAGGAAACUAUGAAGUGGUUCCUGAUGGGCCUUUUUGUUCUGCCUAUUUUUGAUGAACCAAAAUUGGCUUUGAUUAGGAAAGGUGACUGCCUACAGAGAUCUACAGUAGGUUUUUUUAACCUCAUACAAAUUAGAAUCAAGAUAAUUUGUUUGCCUGAAUAGACAUGUUAAUAGAAACCAUUUCCUAUUUAAAAGUUGGUUCAGGAAGCGCCCGGUUAAACAAAAAGGAAAAUUACCUAGGCACCUGCUAUCAUGUAUUUAAUCAGUGCAGUUCAGUAGCUUCCAUAAUUCACAUAAGCAAAUGUCUUCUUGCUUCACCCUCAACCAACAUCGACAGUUACAAGGAAAAGGUUGUAUAGCCCUUUCCCAUUUAUUCAAAAAACUGGACAUUGCCAACGUUUUCACCAAGUCACCAUAUAUUUAUGUACUUAGAAACGCAGACUCUAAGGCCAGGUAGGAUCAUUGCUUUCGGGGCUUCCCUGCGGAGGAACUGUGGACCUAGAAGUAAGGGUUCUUGGAUUUUUUUCAGGCUGUGGGGAGGGAGCAAACCUCGGCAGGCAGCCUGUCAUCCCUUCCUAACUUGCAUCUGAGCAUUCUCUUGAUCACUCAGAGCAUCACCUGCUGUCCAUCAUUGCAUCCGGAUGGUCAGAACAGGAAGUCUAACAAGCAUCCCUUACCUGGACCGUGGUGUCUCCAGGACAGCCAUGCCUAUUCCAGUUUGCUCAGGGGGCAGACAUUUUUGAGCAUAGCUGGAAACAGACAGACAAACUGAAAGCUAAUUUUACCAAUUCUUGGGGUGGCAGAGAGGUCAUAGAUGUUUUUACCUACACAUUUUCUGCAUAACAAAUACAACUUUACCUCAAAAGGUGAACACAGAAAACAUCACUGGUGUUUCUAGCCUUCUAUCAACAGAAGGCUAGAAAGCCGUCAGCACGCACAAGCCAGGCCUUGACUCAAACCAGUCACGCUGGUGUUACUCUGCCAGAUGAAGGGCUUGGCACUGGUCUGAGAAGGAAGAGCUGUUGAGCUUCUGGGUCUGUCUGUCUGUCUCUGUCAUAGGAGAAGGCCAGAAUAUCUUUCCUUGUUGCCCAGGAGGCUGAGGAACUUGUGUUUGCUUUCUGAAAGCACACCCACCCAUAGCCAGGAGUCUACAGCAACAACAUGGCCAUUUAUGCAGCAUCUUUCACCUAGGUAACCAGGGCAGUUGGACCCAUUUCUCAGAGCAGAUGAAUGUAUUAGGGGCUACAGGAGAGGGGGAAAAAGCUAAAAAGCCAAGCUGCUCUGUAAUUGUACCCAUGAACAGCAGAAGGCAAAACAGUAAAGGCUAUACUAGGAACUAAAUGAGUCUGGAAUACCUCCCAGAGUUCAGGUACUUGGAACCUGCCUCCCAGUCACCGGUUAGCUUAGGAAGCCUGUCGGCCAUUCCCUCAUCCAGUCAGAGGCUAAAGGUUUAGUGGCGCGCUGUUAAAUAGGUGGGAACAAUUUUGUACAACAGUAAGGGUCACCAAGCCUCUUGCCUUUAGGGAGGCAGGGCCCACAGAUGCUCAAAAGUGGCUUAGGUUUUGAUUCAAAAUAGGAGCUAUUAUAGUGCCCUGGGCUGGGUGAGAGCGAAUACUGUUUUUUUUCUCUGUUCUGGAAAAAAACCCAUGGUAAAAUAUUGGCUUCUCUACAUAAAUCAAGAGUGUUCUAAAUUUUACUCUUGCUAGAAGGGAAUCUGAGCCCUGCCUCUAAAAUAAAAAUGGAAGAUGCUUUUAUUGGUCUAGAGCACAACGGUCUACACACAGCCCAGGCAUUGCUCUAUUUGAAGCUGCACUGUGUCUGGGAUGCUCGGUGGCAACACUUUGUGUAUCCUUUGGUCUGUAACUCCCAACUACUAACUCUUCAUGACCUUAUUUCAAGAAUCUGGUACCAUGGGACCCGAAAAGCAGAGCCUGCUACAGGAAGCCGCCAGCCCUAGAUACUGGAGACAUACAACACUGUCACUUUUCCCUUGGAAGAGGCAGGAAGAAAUCCAGGUGUCAAAAGAAAAGUCAACAACCUAUG
rnacentral:lncRNA from 1 species